rnacentral:rRNA from 1 species
CCUACGGGAGGCUGCAGUGGGGAAUAUUGGGCAAUGGGCGAAAGCCUGACCCAGCCACGCCGCGUGAGUGAUGAAGGCCUUCGGGUCGUAAAGCUCUGUGGGGAGGGACGAACAAGCCUGGGGCUAAUCAGCCAGGCUCUGACGGUACCUCCUUAGCAAGCACCGGCUAACCCUGUGCCAGCAGCCGCGGUAAUACAGGGGGUGCAAACGUUGCUCGGAAUUAUUGGGCGUAAAGCGCGCGUAGGCGGCAACUUAAGUCGGAUGUGAAAGCCCUC